rnacentral:rRNA from 1 species
ACGAACGCUGGCGGCGUGCUUAACACAUGCAAGUCGAACGGUGAAGCGCCUUCCUUUUUGGUGGGUGUGGAUGAGUGGCGAACGGGUGAGUAACACGUGAGUAACCUGCCCCCUUCUUCUGGAUAACCGCAUGAAAGAGUGGCUAAUACGGGAUAUUCUGGGUCUGUCGCAUGAUGGGUCUGGGAAAGAUAUUGUUUCGGUGGGGGAUGGGCUCGCGGCCUAUCAGCUUGUUGGUGGGGUGAUGGCCUACCAAGGCGGUGACGGGUAGCCGGCCUGAGAGGGUGGACGGACACACUGGGACUGAGACACGGCCCAGACUCCUACGGGAGGCAGCAGUGGGGAAUAUUGCACAAUGGGCGCAAGCCUGAUGCAGCGACGCCGCGUGAGGGAUGGAGGCCUUCGGGUUGUGAACCUCUUUCGCCAGUGAAGCAGGCCUGCCUCGUUUGUGGGUGGGUUGACGGUAGCUGGAUAAGAAGCGCCGGCUAACUACGUG